AUUGAACGCUGGCGGCAUGCCUUACACAUGCAAGUCGAACGGUAACAGGUCUUCGGAUGCUGACGAGUGGCGAACGGGUGAGUAAUACAUCGGAACGUGCCUAGUAGUGGGGGAUAACUACUCGAAAGAGUGGCUAAUACCGCAUGAGAUCUACGGAUGAAAGCAGGGGAUCGCAAGACCUUGUGCUACUAGAGCGGCCGAUGGCAGAUUAGGUAGUUGGUGGGAUAAAAGCUUACCAAGCCGACGAUCUGUAGCUGGUCUGAGAGGACGAUCAGCCACACUGGGACUGAGACACGGCCCAGACGCCGACGGGAGGCAGCAGUGGGGAAUUUUGGACAAGGGGCGAAAGCCUGAUCCAGCAAUGCCGCGUGCAGGAUGAAGGCCUUCGGGUUGUAAACUGCUUUUGUACGGAACGAAAAGCCCCGGGUUAAUACCCUGGGGUCAUGACGGUACCGUAAGAAUAAGCACCGGCUAACUACGUGCCAGCCGCCGCCGUAA
rnacentral:rRNA from 1 species